GAUGAACGCUGGCGGCGUGCCUAAUACAUGCAAGUCGAGCGAACAGACGAGGAGCUUGCUCCUCUGACGUUAGCGGCGGACGGGUGAGUAACACGUGGAUAACCUACCUAUAAGACUGGGAUAACUUCGGGAAACCGGAGCUAAUACCGGAUAAUAUAUUGAACCGCAUGGUUCAAUAGUGAAAGACGGUUUUGCUGUCACUUAUAGAUGGAUCCGCGCCGCAUUAGCUAGUUGGUAAGGUAACGGCUUACCAAGGCAACGAUGCGUAGCCGACCUGAGAGGGUGAUCGGCCACACUGGAACUGAGACACGGUCCAGACUCCUACGGGAGGCAGCAGUAGGGAAUCUUCCGCAAUGGGCGCAAGCCUGACGGAGCAACGCCGCGUGAGUGAUGAAGGUCUUCGGAUCGUAAAACUCUGUUAUUAGGGAAGAACAACUGUGUAAGUAACUCUGCACGUCUUGACGGUACCUAAUCAGAAAGCCACGGCUAACUACGUG
rnacentral:rRNA from 1 species